ensembl:lncRNA
GUGUAAUUUUGAGAGUGAAAACAUGAAACAACUAUAGGAAAAUGUUUGGCAAAGUUAGAGUAUACCCACUUCUCCAAGCACCACUAUACCACUGACAAUAAAAGUCACCACACUCAAUAACAGACAGACAGACAGACAGUGAGACAGACAGAGGCAUUCAAUGAGAGACAGAGAGACAGGCAUACAAUGAGACUCAAUGAGAGACAGGCAGACAGGCUUAAGAUGACACUAGAAAGCAAGCUUAAGAUGACACUAGAAAGCAAGCUUAAGAUGACACUAGAAAGACAGGCUUAAGAUGACACUAGAAAGACAGGCUUAAGAUGACACUAGAAAGACAGGCUUAAGAUGACACUAGAAGGACAGGCUUAAGAUGCCACUAGAAAGACAGGCUUAAGAUGCCAUUAGAAAGACAGGCUUAAGAUGACACUAGAAAGACAGGCUUAAGAUGACACUAGAAAGAAAGGCUUAAGAUGACACUAGAAAGACAGGCUUAAGAUGACACUAGAAAGACAGGCUUAAGAUGACACUAGAAAGAAAGGCUUAAGACGACACUAGAAAGACAAGGUUAAGACGCCACUAGAAAGACAAGGUUGAGACGACACUAGAAAGACAGGGUUAAGAUGCCACUAGAAAGACAGGCUUAAGAUGACACUAGAAAGACAGGGUUAAGAUGACACUAGAAAGACAGGCUAAAGAUGACACUAUAAAGACAAGCUUAAGAUAAGACUCAAUUAGACCACUAAUACAUUGGCCUAACUCUUUGUAAGUGUUAGAGAAAGUACUCUGAGACUUACAAAGAUCCAACAGCAUAUGCAGAGGUAAUUA